rnacentral:rRNA from 1 species
GAUGAACGCUGGCGGCGUGCCUAAUACAUGCAAGUCGAGCGAACAGACGAGGAGCUUGCUCCUCUGACGUUAGCGGCGGACGGGUGAGUAACACGUGUAUAACCUACCUAUAAGACUGGGAUAACUUCGGGAAACCGGAGCUAAUACCGGAUAAUAUAUUGAACCGCAUGGUUCAAUAGUUAAAGACGGUUUUUCUUUCACUUAUAGAUGUAUCCGCUCCGCAUUAGCUAGUUGGUAAGGUAACGGCUUACCAAGGCGACGAUGCGUAGCCGACCGGAGAGGGUGAUCGGCCACACUGGAACUGAGACACGGUCAAGACGCCGACGGGAGGCAGCAGUAGGGAAUAUUCCGCAAUGGGCGAAAGCCUGACGGAGCAACGCAGCGUGAGUGAUGAAGGUCUUCGGAUCGUAAAACUCUGUUAUUAGGGAAGAAAAAAUGUGUAAGUAACUAUGCACGUCUUGACGGUACCUAAUCAGAAAGCCACGGCUAACUACGUG